rnacentral:rRNA from 1 species
UACAGAGGGUGCGAGCGUUAAUCGGAAUUACUGGGCGUAAAGCGCGCGUAGGCGGCUUUGUAAGUCGGUUGUGAAAUCCCCGGGCUCAACCUGGGAACUGCAUCCGAGACUGCAUAGCUAGAGUAUGGGAGAGGGAAGUGGAAUUUCAGGUGUAGCGGUGAAAUGCGUAGAUAUCUGAAGGAACAUCGGUGGCGAAGGCGGCAUCCUGGACCAUUACUGACACCGAAAAGCGAAAGCCAGGGGAGCAAACGGG